rnacentral:rRNA from 1 species
GCUUACGGCCACACCGCCUGGUUCACGCGAUCUCGUUUGAUCUCGGAAGCUAAGGUAGGUUGGGCCUGGUUAGUACUUGGAUGGGAGACCGCCUGGGAAUACCAGGUGCUGUAAGCU